GACGAACGCUGGCGGCGUGCCUAAUACAUGCAAGUAGAACGCACAGUUUAUACCGUAGCUUGCUACACCAUAGACUGUGAGUUGCGAACGGGUGAGUAACGCGUAGGUAACCUGCCUGGUAGCGGGGGAUAACUAUUGGAAACGAUAGCUAAUACCGCAUAAUAUUGAUUAUUGCAUGAUAAUUGAUUGAAAGAUGCUAUUGCAUCACUACCAGAUGGACCUGCGUUGUAUUAGCUAGUAGGUGAGGUAACGGCUCACCUAGGCGACGAUACAUAGCCGACCUGAGAGGGUGAUCGGCCACACUGGGACUGAGACACGGCCCAGACUCCUACGGGAGGCAGCAGUAGGGAAUCUUCGGCAAUGGACGAAAGUCUGACCGAGCAACGCCGCGUGAGUGAAGAAGGUUUUCGGAUCGUAAAGCUCGGUUGUAAGAGAAGAACGGGUGUGAGAGUGGAAAGUUCACACUGUGACGGUAUCUUACCAGAAAGAGACGGCUAACUACGUG
rnacentral:rRNA from 1 species